GGAGAGGUAGAUGGAUUGAGCAAUCAAGCCCUGCUCCGGCCGCCGCCGCCGCCGCCGCCGCUGUUGCCGGUGACCCGCCAGCCAUGUCGUGCUCGCACCUCUCCACCGCCUGGUCCUCCUCCGCCCUGGCCACCCGCCGCCGCUCCGCUCCUAGCUGCGGCAGCAGCGGCCGCCUGCAGGUGGUGCGGUGCUCGCUGCGUGAGCUGCGGAGCCGCAUCGACUCGGUGCGCAACACGCAGAAGAUCACGGAGGCGAUGAAGCUGGUGGCGGCGGCCAAGGUGCGGCGGGCGCAGGAGGCGGUGGUGUCC
rnacentral:misc_RNA from 1 species